UACGUAGGGGGCAAGCGUUGUCCGGAUUUACUGGGCGUAAAGCGCGCGUAGGUGGAACGAUCAGUCCGGUCUGAAAGCCCCCGGCUCAACCGGGGAGGGUGGCUGGAAACUGUCGUUCUUGAGGGCGAGAGAGGAGGGUGGAAUUCCUGGUGUAGCGGUGAAAUGCGCAGAUAUCAGGAGGAACACCUAUUGCGAAGGCAGCUCGCUGGGACGUAACUGACGCUGAGACGCGAAAGCGUGGGGAGCAAACAGG
rnacentral:rRNA from 1 species